ACUUGGCUGCAACUGGACCCAGAACUAGGGAAGAGGCCAGGGACAGAUUUUUUUUUUUUAUUUUUAUUUUUUUUGCCGAGGGACGUUUCAAAAUUUUGCACGGCCAGGGUGACAAAAAGAGGAUUUAAGAGCCACAAGCGGUCCGCACAUGACCCAGACUUCGUUCCUGUGCGGCUUCCAGAGGUGUUCAUGCAGAAGACUGGAUGCAGGACCCUUGGUGGCACCAGUGUGCAGAUGAGCAGAUAGUGACUGAUUGCCACUGGGGCUAUAACAAAAUAUAAUAAACUGGGUACCUUAGAAGCAACGGAAAUUGAUUUCUCAUCGUUCUAGAAGCUAGGAAGUUCACGAUCAAGGUAGCAGCAGAGUUGGUGCCUGCUCUGGAGGCUGGAAAUCCAACAACAGAGUGCCAGCAUGAUCAGGUUCUGGAGAGGACCCUCUUCCUGUUUGCAGACUGCUGACUUCUUAUUGUAUAUUCCAAUGGUAGAAAGAGAGCAAGAGAACUCUCUGGAGUCUUUUUUUUAUAAGGGUGCUAACCCCAUUUAAGGAGGUUUCCCCUCAUAAUCUAAUUAUCUCUCAAAAGCCAUACCUUUCAACACCAUUGCAUUGAAGAAUUGCCCAGCAGAUGUCUUUUUCAUUUCCUUUGCUUGUGGUUUGCCCAUCUGUCAGCUGUGAAUGACCCAAACAACGUGACACGCUAUUUCUAACUCAACAGUCCUGGAACUUUCUUGACCUUUGACAAAGCCAUCAGAUCACCAUCACCAUCAUUAUUGUUUAUAGAAACAUGAAAAUUCAACCAUAAAAAGUCAUCUUGGGCUGAGCAUGGUGGCUCUAACAUGUAAUCCCAGCACUUUGGGAGCCUAAGGUAUGCUCACUCUUUCACUAACCUUGAGAGACAUUGUCAGAUGUGCAUAAGGGAAGAACAUGAAGGACGACGGAUAAACUGUACACAGACACAGCACAUGGAGUCUGAGUCAUUUGUUUUCUCUGACAGAUCUUUACCAUGCUGGAUUGGAAGAGAAAAGACCAUCACUAAAGCAAAUGGAUCAAAUGGAGUUAUAAAUCAACUCUGUACUCUACAGGAUUGACUCAACUGCAGACAUCUCCAAUACACUCCCUCAUGGCUUUAUUUUUUCUGCUUAUGUGGAAAAAUAACAGUAAAUACAGUUAACUAUCCCAAGACAGAAGAGUAUUAUUAAAAAAGAAUACAACGUUAUUGAUUUUUCAAGACAUAAUCAGAUAUUUUUAAACUCUGAUUUAAUAAAACAUAAUGUAAUUUC
rnacentral:lncRNA from 1 species